AGUCUGCAUCAGUUGUGAAACCGCGAGCAAGUAGCUGCAGCUUAGGAAAGCGCGAACGUUACAGGCGGUCUCUUGUUAGCUCGCUGAACUGCCACAGAAGAAAUACUAUCGGCAAGAAAUACUCCGGUUCAAACAAUCAUUGUGAGGCGCGCAAGCAGAUGCCGAAAAUUCUACACUUUCAAACUAAUUGCGCUGGAUGUUUUACAGGCGACAUAAAUGGACAUCAGAAGCUGAACAGAGCUUCGGGUUCUAAACUUUUAUGAUAUUUCAUCUUAUUUUGUAGUAAAUUUUUUCCCGAAAUUCGGUGUUUGUACUAGAGAAGAGGAAGAUGAAGUCAGUGGCAGGUGUGUGUGAUACGGGUCUCUUCACAGACAGCUACUGUAACAUCUGCAACGCUCAGCUCAUCUCAACGUCUCAACGGGUGGCACACUAUGAGAGUAAAAAACACGCCAACAAAGUACGUCUUUUCUACAUGUUACACCCAGAGGAUGGAGGUCCACCAUCGAAGAGACUGAGACCUGACAACGCUGACAGUGAGGAGAUGGCGGUGGACGGUAACAAGUGUUGUUCUCUGUGCAACAUGUUCUUCACGUCAGCUGUGGUGGCCCAGUCGCACUACAACGGAAAAACCCACGCUAAGAGAGUUAGACUGGUUCUGGGGUCUACGCCGGAUAUUCCCAGAACCACUCCUCCAGACUCCGCCCCCUGUCCAUCGGGCACGCCCCCUCUGCUGAUGCCACCCUCUCCGGCUCCUCCCGUUCCCUGUCUUGCGGCCAAUGACAACGUGGCGUGCAGGUGGUGCUUCCUGUGUGGGGCGUGGUUCAACAACCCGGUCAUGGCCCAGCAGCACUAUGAGGGGAAGAAACACCGGCGGAAUGAUGCCAGGGCCCGCCUUCUGGAACAGCUGGCUGAUAAUCUGGACACCAAUCAGAACACAGGUCUGAGAAGCAGCUACAGAUGCACCGUGUGUGAUGUCACUGUCAACUCUAUCGAGCAGUAUCACGCCCAUGUCCAAGGCUCCAAACACCUCACCAAGUCAGUAUCUGUCUGUCUGCCUGUCUAUCUGAUUACCACCCCUAACCCUGACAUCUAACUGUCCUUUUCACAGUGCUAAAGUUAGUGUGGUCGAUAUUUCCGUGUCCCUCCUAUUGACCCUGAUCUCAGCGACAUGAGCCUGAUUAGAAGUCCUUACACUGAGGGGAAAUAUAUCAUCAGGCUGGACGCUUGCCAGGUUGGGGAGAGAGAGGCUGGUUGGGCUAAUGCUGUGUUGCCAGGUUGGGGAGAGAGUGGCUGGUUGGCAAUUGGAAGGUGAUAGUCAGGCUGGAUUCUGUCCAACUCCAUCCUAGAAUGCUGCCUGUCAGUCCAUUCAUCGAUGGAUAUCAUGCUCUUAAAUUAUCCUGUGGCGCUUAAAAGUUUAUUAUUUUCUGGUGUUUUCCCUUCUUUAAGAUCGUUGAAAACAGAGGGGGUAGACAAGGCAGGCGGCAGAAAAACAAGGAAGAGUGGAUGC